rnacentral:ncRNA from 1 species
AGAACUGGUAAUCCGAGGAGUGGAAUGAAAGGGUAACGUCUUGAAACACUCCCACUGAUACUCCGGCUGGCUCUACUCAAAAGGUAGAUGUUCAGAAGCCCGGUAAAGUCGGCAGAGAGUAGCCGUAAUGUGCUAUAUGCACAACGAAACCUGUCCAGAGGUGGACGGUGCUACCUAUAUGCCGGGUGUCAG